UACGUAGGGGGCAAGCGUUGUCCGGAAUCAUUGGGCGUAAAGAGCGUGUAGGCGGCUCGGUAAGUCCGCUGUGAAAGUCCAGGGCUCAACCCUGGAAUGCCGGUGGAAACUGUCGAGCUAGAGUCCGGAAGAGGUGAGUGGAAUUCCUGGUGUAGCGGUGAAAUGCGCAGAUAUCAGGAGGAACACCAAUGGCGAAGGCAGCUCGCUGGGACGGUACUGACGCUGAGACGCGAAAGCGUGGGGAGCAAACAGG
rnacentral:rRNA from 1 species